AGUUGUAAUCUGGAGAAGCGUCUUCCGCGCUGGACCGUGUACAAGUCUCCUGGAACGGAGCGUCAUAGAGGGUGAGAAUCCCGUCUUUGACACGGACUACCAGUGCUCUGUGAUGCGCUCUCAAAGAGUCGAGUUGUUUGGGAAUGCAGCUCAAAAUGGGUGGUAAACUCCAUCUAAAGCUAAAUAUUGGCGAGAGACCGAUAGCGAACAAGUACCGUGAGGGAAAGAUGAAAAGCACUUUGGAAAGAGAGUUAAACAGUACGUGAAAUUGCUGAAAGGGAAACGCUUGAAGUCAGUCGCGUUUGCUAGGACUCAGCCUUGCCUCGGCUUGGUGCAUUUCCUAGUAGACGGGCCAGCAUCACUUUUGACUGCGGGAGAAAGGUUGGAGGAAUGUGGCACCCUCGGGUGUGUUAUAGCCUCUAGCUGUAUGCCGUGGUUGGGAGUGAGGAACUCAGCACGCCGCAAGGCGGGGCUUCGGCCACCUUCGUGCUUAGGAUGCUGGCGUAAUGGCUUUAAACGACCCGUCUUGAAACACGGACCAAGGAGUCUAACAUGCCUGCGAGUGUUUGGGUGGAAAACCCGAGCGCGUAAUGAAAGUGAAAGUUGGGACCUCUGUCGUGGAGGGCACCGACGCCCGGACCAGACCUUCUGUGACGGAUCCGCGGUAGAGCAUGUAUGUUGGGACCCGAAAGAUGGUGAACUAUGCCUGAUAGGGUGAAGCCAGAGGAAACUCUGGUGGAGCUCGUAGCGAUUCUGACGUGCAAAUCGAUCGUC
rnacentral:rRNA from 1 species